GGGGGGCCCUUAGUGGUGCUGGGCUACACUACUGUGCUACAUAUGGCGGUGACAAUGGGAUGCAACCGGGGCGACCCGCGAGCAAAUCUCAAAAAACCGUCUCAGUUCGGAUUGUUCACUCGAGAGCAUGAAGUUGGAAUCGCUAGUAAUCGCGUAUCAGCAUGACGCGGUGAUA
rnacentral:rRNA from 1 species